rnacentral:rRNA from 1 species
CACCGCGGUUAUACGAGUAACUCACAUUAAUACACUUACGGCGUAAAGUGUGGUUUAAGAUUUUAAUUUUUUUUAAAAAUUAAAAUUGAAAUCCCAUCAGGCUGUUAUAUGCAUCUAUGGGUCGAAAAAAUAACAACGAAAGUGAUUUUAUUUCAAAAAAAUAUCUUGAUGCCACGAUAGUUAAAUCC